UAAUACGUAGGGGGCGAGUGUUGUCCGGAAUUACUGGGCGUAAAGCGCGUGUAGGUGGUGGGGCAAGUCUGCCGUGAAAGCGCCCGGCUCAACCGGGCGAGGUCGGUGGAAACUGCGCCACUUGAGGACGGUAGAGGGGGGUGGAAUUCCCGGUGUAGUGGUGAAAUGCGUAGAUAUCGGGAGGAACACCAGUGGCGAAGGCGGCCCCCUGGGCCGCUCCUGACGCUGAGACGCGAAGGCCAGGGUAGCGAACGGGAUUAGAUACCCCGGUAGUCCUGGCAGUAAACGAUGAGCACUAGGUGUGGGGGGUAUCGAGCCCCUCCGUGCCGACGCCAACGCAUUAAGUGCUCCGCCUGGGGAGUACGGCCGCAAGGUUA
rnacentral:rRNA from 1 species